rnacentral:rRNA from 1 species
GACGAACGCUGGCGGCGUGCCUAAUACAUGCAAGUAGAACGCAGUUGCGAACGGGUGAGUAACGCGUAGGUAACCUGCCUCAUAGCGGGGGAUAACUACUGGAAACGGUAGCUAAUACCGCAUACCAUCGGAUGUGCCCAGAUGGGAUUAGUUAGUAGGUGGGGUAACGGCUCACCUAGGCGACGAUCCCUAGCUGGUCUGGGAGGAUGACCAGGCACACUGGGACUGAGACACGGCCCAGACUUCUACGGGAGGCAGCAGUAGGGAAUCUUCGGCAAUGGACGGAAGUCUGACCGAGCAACGCCGCGUGAGUGAAGAAGGUUUUCGGAUCGUAAAGCUCUGUUGUUAGAGAAGCGGUAACUAACCAGAAAGGGACGGCUAACUACGUGCCAGCAGCCGCGGUAAUUC